AUUGAACGCUAGCGGGAUGCUUUACACAUGCAAGUCGAGCGGAGCGGCGGACGGGUGAGUAAUGCCUCGGAAUCUGCCUGGUAGUGGGGGAUAACUACCGGAAAGGGGCGCUAAUACCGCAUACUAUCGGAUGGGCCUAGGUCGGAUUAGCUAGUGGGUGGGGUAAAGGCCGACCAAGGCGACGAUCCGUACCUGGUUUGGGAGGAUGAUCAGUCACACUGGAACUGAGACACGGCCCAGACUCCUACGGGAGGCAGCAGUGGGGAAUAUUGGACAAUGGGCGAAAGCCUGAUCCCACCAUGCCGCGUGUGCGAAGAAGGUCUUCGGAUUGUAAAGCACUUUAAGUUGGGAGGCGGUACCUACAGAAUAAGCACCGGCUAACUACGUGCCAGCAGCCGCGGUAAUAC
rnacentral:rRNA from 1 species